UACGUAGGGGGCAAGCGUUAUCCGGAUUUACUGGGUGUAAAGGGAGCGUAGACGGUGAAGCAAGUCUGAAGUGAAAGGCGGGGGCUCAACCCCCGGACUGCUUUGGAAACUGUUUGACUGGAGUGCAGGAGAGGUAAGUGGAAUUCCUAGUGUAGCGGUGAAAUGCGUAGAUAUUAGGAGGAACACCAGUGGCGAAGGCGGCUUACUGGACUGUAACUGACGUUGAGGCUCGAAAGCGUGGGGAGCAAACAGG
rnacentral:rRNA from 1 species